UACGUAGGGUGCAAGCGUUGUCCGGAAUUAUUGGGCGUAAAGAGCUCGUAGGCGGCUUGUCGCGUCGAAUGUGAAAUCUCAGGGCUCAACUCUGACAUUGCAUUCGAUACGGGCAGGCUCGAGUUCGGUAGGGGAGACUGGAAUUCCUGGUGUAGCGGUGAAAUGCGCAGAUAUCAGGAGGAACACCGGUGGCGAAGGCGGGUCUCUGGGCCGAUACUGACGCUGAGGAGCGAAAGCGUGGGGAGCGAACAGG
rnacentral:rRNA from 1 species